GUAUUUAUUAUAAAGGCACAACAUUCUAUUAACAUACAUUGGGGUAAAUGAAGCAACAUAGACCCAAAAAGGUCUACAAAAGGUGCACAGGUGGAGAUAUAAAGAUGACAAGGUGUGCACAUGCUCCCUAGAGAACCAGCAACAACCCAUCAGGUUUAUUUCAAUAAUGAUCCUUCCGCAGGUUCACCUACGGAAA
rnacentral:misc_RNA from 1 species